rnacentral:lncRNA from 1 species
UGCUUAUUUGAGUUUGCCGAAUCCAUUUCUGCAUCCCUUUCGUGCAGAAAUGACUCCGACUCAGUCCGACACUCUCCAGAUGUGUUGACCAGUCACUAAUACUAUAGCCAAUCCUAUCCAAACCUCAGGAACACUACACAUCAAAUAAGAGAAGAUUACACCUGACUCAUCUUCUAUAAUAAAAUAGCUACAAAGCCUUCUUUCUCGAAUCUCUCAUAUCAUUCUCUCAUCUUUUAUUAAUCUAAAAGACUACUCACUUAUAGACGCAUCCGUACAUAAGGUGCAUCCAACUCACUAUCUCUCUCUCUUUUUCUCUCUCUGGUACGGCACCCAAGGCUCCAACCGUACUCCCUCAAGAGCACACACCUAAUUAAUUAGCCAAUGCAUUAUUUAUAAUGCUCAACUUAAAACGUACCCAAUCCUAUUAAUUAAUAUCUAAAUCUAUCUUAAUUAAUCUCGAAUAAAUUUAAAUAUUAAUCAUAAUUUAGUUAUGUUUAUCCUCUAAUUAAUAUUUAAAUCUUAAUUUAUCUCCAACAUAUUUAAAUAUUAAUUCUUAUCCAAAUAGGAUUCAACUACAAAUCUAACUAAAUUCUAACAAUCUCCACCUUGGUUGGAUUUGUAGUCUUCAACUCCAACGUCGAGCUUACCAUGCAAACUCCACCUUGAGCUUGUCUUCUCCACUCGAUGUUGGCGCAUCUGUCGCUCGGCCUCGAGCAACUGCACUUCCACGAACUUUUGGAACCCAAACGGUUUUCGCUCUCGUUCUGACUGUACUCCCGUUCAAAACGUAUAAGUUUUCGCGCUUGUUCGCUUCGCACAUGACCCGAUCUCAUUUUCGGACCCUCAUAGCUCCACCUGAAGCUGAAAUAUCACAACCCUUUGAGUCCAACGCGCCUAACGAGAUCAAAUUUCGUCUUAAUCGAGGAACAUGUUGCACACCUGUCAGUGUCCUCACGACCUCAUCGUACAUUCAGAUCUUCACCGUACCGACUCCGAAAACUUUGCACAUCGUCCCGUUCCCCAUCAGAGCCUUUCCACCCUUGAUCGCUUUAUAAGUGGCAAAAGACUCUUUCUCCAGACAAACGUGAAAGGAACAUGCCGAAUCGAGCACCCACGCACCAUCCGAAAUUUUAGCACCUCCGGUCGCAGCAUAUAGCACAUCAGAAUCGAUCAUCUCCGAUUCUAUUGCCUGCGCCAUCGCUGUUAUCUCCUCGUCCUGGUUCACGACAGUUUUCUCCUUCUGUCGCUUUAACUCCUUCAGAUCAUCUUGAAGUUUUCGACAGUUGCGCUUAAUAUGUCCUUUCCUGUGACAGUAAAAGCACUCUACCUUAGAUAGCAGCUUCUUCUGUCGAUCUCUAGUCGCCAAUGUUGUCGACUCCUUCUUCACUCUCACCACCAAAGCAGUAUCCCGACUCUGCGUGCCAGACUCCUGAGUCAUCUUCCGCAUCUCGUUCGAGAGAAGCGGAGCAGUGAUCGACUCCACGCUUAUGGUCUCCUUGCCAUAGAGCAACGUUGUCACGCCUCGGGACCCGGCAUAGGCCCGCCCGGUGCGUGCCUAGACCCGCCAUAUGCCUGCACAUAUAAGGCGUCUGCAACAAUAGCGAUAAAUGAACAAGAAUAAAGAGUAUCUAGAGAUAUCAGAGCAAGUAUACAGCUAGAUUCUAUCAACAAGUAGAAUCAAAGAAAACUAAACUACUAAAGUAAAGUGUAAAGUAAUACAUCAUAAGUCUCAUGACACAUCAAAAGGGAUGGUCUCUAUACACAGGUACAAAUGUCUCAACCUCUCCAAAACAAAACCCAAAAGAAAGGUAGACCACCUAUCGUUGAAUCUCUUGCUAGCUAGCUCGAGGCGAUUCCUUUCCCGCGAUCCCGAGCCUCUCCCGGAGUGGAAGGCUCUGAAAGAAAACAUAAAACAGAGAGCGUGAGAACUAUAAUUUAUAGUUCCCAGUGGGCAAUUACCGACCUCAGCACAAUGCACCACUAGGCCCAAAGCAGAUAUGAUAAGCGACUAAUAAACUGCAGGUAUAAAAGCAUGUAUAGAAAUGCUAAACUACUAUGCCGCAAUAUAACAUGUGUCAACAUGGUGUACAUCUAUUCUAUCAUGAUCCAAUAUACUAAUACAUAUCUGGUAUGCUUUAUCAUGGCAACCAAGUAUACUAAAAUGCAAUGAGCAAUACUAUCAAGUAUACUACAUGUCCAAAUGUCCAAUAAAUCCAACUACGUUAUGCUAUCAAGUAGUGAUUGUCAUAAUACUGUUUAAUGUCCUCGUUCAAUCUCAUUUAGGACCUACACAUUUGUAGUCCAACUUGUGCCACCUAGCUGCUUGUGGUAGCCCAUCAUCCCACACUAGAAAUGAGUCUGUCCCAUGGGGCCCUAUAGGCGUCUCAAUCCCGCACGAGCGAGCUCAAGGAUCCGGCCAUCAUGUCCCUAACAUGGAAAUAAUCACUAGCACCCCAAAGGUCUAGUCCAAGUCCCAAAGUAAGGUUCAACCACACAUUAAGUUUAAUGCCCAUUUAUGACAUUUUGCCUUACUAUGUCCAAAUCCAAAUCCAACACUAAUGCCACUUCAUGACAUUAGGUUUUACUAUGUCCAAUCAUAUUCGAAGUCUAAUGCCACUUCAUGGCAAUAUCUAUUCCUAGUCCACAUAUAUGUAUAUGUAUAUUCCAAGACCAAUGCCACUUUAUGACAUUAGGUCCUCUACUAUGCCCAACAUGAGUUUUAAGUCCAAGAGUGUAUUGUACAUGUCAUUUUCACUACAGAAAACAUAAUUCCAAGUCACGUAUAAGAAUGCUAUCCCAACAUGAAUAACUCUCUACUAUAUCGAGGUCCAAAUAUGCAUUAUACAUAACAUGUGCAUUUUAAGCAUUCUAAAAUUCACAAAUAUUCUAUCUAAUAUGAAUAUGCAUGAAGUUCCAUGAUACGACAAGUACAAUCAUCAUAUGAGAAUUUAUCUCAUUUUGGUGAGGCCAAACCUACCAAGUCUCCUCGAAACCCUUCGUUCGCGCCGACGAAGGUGCCCACGACUCUCCUAGCACCCUAAAGAUAAUAUUGGGAGAGUUAAACGAACGAAACGAACAACCCAAAGGUUAAACAUUAACCAACUCAAGAAAAUGGCAAAAACUCACCUAAGUGUAGAAAAUUCCUCUCAAUCCUCAAAUGAGAGCUAGAACCCUUCCAAUCCAACAUAGGGGAAGGUUCUAAUCCAAGCAAUUGAACUCCAAAAGCCCUAAAUCCAAAAUCUCGAAAUAAACCUUAAAUUACUCAUUUCUAGGGUUUCUAUAUAAAAAUCAUACAAAACAUGAUCUAGAGAGGGGGAGAAGGCUACCAAUCUCUAAAGAAGCUUCAAUAAGGCUUGGGAUAAGCUAGGGUUGAAGAUCUCUCGUCCAACAAGCUCCAAUCCAAUCUCCAAGUCUUCUCCAAUAGUGGAAAAGCCACCAAGAUGGAAAAAGAGAGCAAAAGAUGUGUUUAAUCCCCAAAAAUUCCAACCAAAUAGUAGAAGAUCAAAGAGAAGAAGUGGAGGGCUCCUUACCUCUCUCUCCUCUGUUUCCAAACUCAGAAAAACCCCAAAGGGUCGUGGGGGUAUUUGUAGUAAUGUUACAAUUCCAAAAACACCCCUAAAAAACUGCCAGACUACAGUUUGCAAAGUGUACUGGUACACGGAAAAGUGUACCGGUACAACACCCCAGUACGCGCAAACCCGAGUCUCGGGUUGGCAGAAAUCUGCCUUUUGUAUUGGUACAAACCCAAUAUUGUACCAGUACAACCCCUUGUUCCGGUACAACAUCAAUGUUCUACCGGUACAACACUCUGCAGAACCCAACCCGAGAGCAGCCUAAGUCCUUCUCUUUGGAGACCUUAGUGCUAAGUUUUAAACCUCGAUUCUCGAAAUGCGAGGCAUAGGUCGGAACACUGUCAACGACCCUCCAGAAAAUCUGAAAAAAUUCAGAUCAUAGAUCAAACAUUCGAAUCUUGCAAUUUGCACAAGUCCAGUGUGCUACAAACGUGGUCACUAGAUGCUCAUAUGUCGUCUACAGUGAAGAUAAUAAAAUCAGCGCCUUAUCUUCGUCAUCCAGAUUGACUCCGAUGCUAGUCAACUGGGCCACCACCUUGUUGAACUCGUUCAGAUGCUCGUGUAGGCUCGCCGCUUCUUGCAUCUGCAGUGUAAACAGUCGCUGCUUCAGAUACAUUCUAUUCGUCAGGGACUUGGCCAUGUACAGAUCUUUCAAUUUCUUCCACAACUUCGCCAGUGUUGUCUCGCUGGCUACGUUGUAAAGAACCUCAUCUGCUAAUGAUAGAUAAAGCGUACUCAGCGCCUUCCGCUCCAUCUUCGUCCAUGCCGCAUCCGUGACCUCCGCCGGCUUCGCCUUUUUUCCGUUCAACGUCUCAUCUAAUUCUUGCUGUAUAAGGAUUGCCCGUAUUUUAAUUUGCCACAAUCCAAAAUUGUUCUUGCCAUCGAACUUUUCGAUUUCGAAUUUUGUGGCCAUCUUCGUCGAUCUCUCCCGCAGAUCAGUAACCUUUAGAUCUGAUACCAAUUGUUGGGAAUCCGGUACUCGCCCCGGUACCGAAUCUUGAGAAUCCACAACAUGCUCCGAUACUGACUACUGUAGAUCCGGUACCGAUUGUUGGGAUUCCGCAACGGAAGCAUCGAAUCGGAUUUUUACCAUAAACCCGUCUCCUCAGCAAAAGCUGAUACAAUCACAAAAGAGAGAAAAACCAAAACAAAAAAUAUGCGGAUAAAAUAAGAUUCAUUAAAUAAGAGAAUAUUACACCUGACUCCUCUUCUACAAUAGAAUAGCCACAACCUGAACCUUCUUUCUUAAAUCUCUUCUACCUUUCUCUUAUCUUUUAUUAAUCUAAAAGACUACUCACUCAUAGACGCACCCGUGUACAAGAUGCAUCCAACUCACUAUCUCUCUCUCUUUUUCUCUCUCUGGUAC